GACAGAGGGUGCAAACGUUGUUCGGAAUUACUGGGCGUAAAGAGCGUGUAGGCGGCCCGGUAAGUCCGCUGUAAAAGUCAAAGGCUCAACCUUUGAAUGUCAGUGGAUACUGCCGGGCUAGAGUCCGGAAGAGGCGAGUGGAACUCCUGGUGUAGCGGUGGAAUGCGCAGAUAUCAGGAAGAACACCAACGGCGAAGGCAGCUCGCUGGGACGGUACUGACGCUGAGACGCGAAAGCGUGGGGAGCGAACAGG
rnacentral:rRNA from 1 species